CCACUUUGGUAGUGCAUAUAACAAAAAUUUGGAGUGAUAUAGACAAGAUUAACAUGGUUACAGCAUAAGGAUCAUACAGAAAUUCAUGAAGUGGUCCAUAUUUUU